UACAGAGGUCUCAAGCGUUGUUCGGAUUCAUUGGGCGUAAAGGGUGCGUAGGUGGCGCCGUAAGUCAGGUGUGAAAUUUCGGAGCUUAACUCCGAAACUGCAUUUGAUACUGCUGUGCUGGAGGUUUGGAGGGGGGACUGGAAUUCUUGGUGUAGCAGUGAAAUGCGUAGAUAUCAAGAGGAACACCAGUGGCGAAGGCGAGUCCCUGGACAACACCUGACACUGAGGCACGAAAGCUAGGGGAGCAAACAGG
rnacentral:rRNA from 1 species